GAUGAACGCUGGCGGCGUGCCUAAUACAUGCAAGUCGAGCGAACAGACGAGGAGCUUGCUCCUCUGACGUUAGCGGCGGACGGGUGAGUAACACGUGGAUAACCUACCUAUAAGACUGGGAUAACUUCGGGAAACCGGAGCCAAUACCGGAUAAUAUAUUGAACCGCAUGGUUCAAUAGUGAAAGACGGUUUUGCUGUCACUUAUAGAUGGAUCCGCGCCGCAUUAGCUAGUUGGUAAGGUAACGGCUUACCAAGGCAACGAUGCGUAGCCGACCUGAGUGGGUGAUCGGCCACACUGGAACUGAGACACGGUCCAGACUCCUACGGGAGGCAGCAGUAGGGAAUCUUCCGCAAUGGGCGAAAGCCUGACGGAGCAACGCCGCGUGAGUGAUGAAGGUCUUCGGAUCGUAAAACUCUGUUAUUAGGGAAGAACAAAUGUGUAAGUAACUAUGCACGUCUUGACGGUACCUAAUCAGAAAGCCACGGCUAACUACGUG
rnacentral:rRNA from 1 species